AACGAACGCUGGCGGCACGUUUUAAGCAUGCAAGUCGAAUGGCAGUGGGGGCAACCCCAUGAGAAUGGCGAACGGGUGAGUAACACGUAGGUGAUCUGCCUGACGGAUGGGGAUAGCUUGUGGAAACACAGGGUAAUACCGAAUGAGCUGACGAGACUUUGGUUUUGUUAGUAAAGGUGCUACGGCACCGCCGACAGAGGAGCCUGCGGCUGAUGAGCUAGUUGGUGGGGUAAAGGCCUACCAAGGCGACGAUCAGUAGCCGGCCUGGGAGGGUGUACGGCCAAACUGGAACUCAGACACGGGCCAGACGCCUACGGGAGGCAGCAGCUAAGAAUCUUCCGCAAUGGGCGAAAGCCUGACGGAGCGAUGCCGCGUGAUCGAUGAAGGUCGAGAGAUUGUAAAGAUCUUUUCUACAUGAGGAAUAAGUCUGGGAGGGAAUGCCUGGAUGAUGACGUUAGUGUAGGAAUAAGCCCCGGCUAAUUACGUGCCAGCAGCCGCCGUAA
rnacentral:rRNA from 1 species